rnacentral:rRNA from 1 species
GGAGGAAUAUUGGUCAAUGGGCGAGAGCCUGAACCAGCCAAGUAGCGUGCAGGAUGACGGCCCUAUGGGUUGUAAACUGCUUUUGUAAGGGAACAAAGUGCGGGACGCGUCCCGUUUUGCGUGUACCUUACGAAUAAGGACCGGCUAAUUCCGUGCCAGCAGCCGCGGUAAUACGGAAGGUCCGGGCGUUAUCCGGAUUUAUUGGGUUUAAAGGGAGCGUAGGCCGCCCCUUAAGCGUGUUGUGAAAUGCCGCGGCUCAACCGUGGCACUGCAGCGCGAACUGGGGGGCUUGAGUGCACGCAACGCAGGCGGAAUUCGUGGUGUAGCGGUGAAAUGCUUAGAUAUCACGAAGAACUCCGAUUGCGAAGGCAGCUUGCGGGAGUGCGACUGACGCUGAAGCUCGAAGGUGCGGGUAUCGAACAGGAUUAGAUACCCUGGUAGU